rnacentral:rRNA from 1 species
UGACGUUAGCGGCGGACGGGUGAGUAACACGUGGAUAACCUACCUAUAAGACUGGGAUAACUUCGGGAAACCGGAGCUAAUACCGGAUAACAUAUUGAACCGCAUGGUUCAUGAUUGAAAGGCGGCUUUGCUGUUACUUAUAGAUGGAUCCCCGCCUUAUUAACUAGUUGGGAAGGUAACGGCUUACCCAGGGAACCAUACCUAACCCAACUGGGAGGGUGAUCGGCCACCCUGGAACUGAAACACCGUCCAAACUCCUACGGGAGGCAGCAGUAAGGAAUCUUCCGGAAUGGGCGAAAGCCUGAAGGAACCACCCCGCGUGAAUGAUGAAGGUCUUCCGAUCCUAAAACUCUGUUAGCAAGGAAAAACAAAUGUGUAAAUAACUGGGCCCAUCUUGACCGUACCUGAUCAGAAAGCCCCGGCUAACUACCUGCCAGCAGCCGCGGUAAUACGUAGGUGGCAAGCGUUAUCCGGAAUUAUUGGGCGUAAAGCGCGCGUAGGCUGUUUUUUAAGUCUGGAGUGACAGCCCACGGCUCAACCGUGGAGGGUCAUUGGAAACUGGAAAA